UCGCCACAUGCGCCUGCGCUGGUUUUCCUGGUGAUGACGUCAGCCGUUGUUGCGCAACCUGACCUGGAUCCCCCGUACUGCGCGCUGCGCUACCGGCGGCUCUGCCAGGGCAAAGGCCGGCAUAUCGCUUGCCAGUUCCCUUCUGCGGGCCCCGGGGAGACCUGCGUCAACUACACCUCCAUCAAGUUCACCAAGCAGCUGCGGCAUUUCGUCACACAUUACAUCAAUAGACGUCGGCAGCGGGUAGCGGCGGGGAGCGAGCGGGUGCGCGGGGGUGUGCAUUUGCCUCGACCUGAGCUCAUGAUGCAAGUCGAAUGGGAUCGAGAGUUAGCAGUGUUGGCGCAGCGGCUAGCCGAUCAAUGCAGCUUUAUACACGACGACUGCAGGGCGACAGUUCGUUAUCCGUACGCGGGCCAGAACGUGGGGGAGGUUAAAUGGCGGCGUUCGAGUGAGUCCGACCAACAGAACGCGGCGAGAGCUAUCCGACGUGUGUUCGACGCGUGGUGGGGCGAGCGCCGCCGGGUCACAGUGCGGCAGCUCGUACAACCUUUUAGGCUUACUAGCAGAGGCAGUGUAUGGGGCCACUUCAGUCAACUGGCGGUAUGGACGCUGCGCGCAGUCGGUUGUGGAGCUGUGAGACAUGGCUCCCGAUACCCUCGGAUCCUGCUGGUGUGCGACUUCUCGCACACCAACAUGCUAGGUCAACGGACCCUGACUCCAGGUCCUCUCGCCCCCUGUCCAAUCCACACCACACGCCGACCACAUUCUUCUUACCCCAUGCUUUGUGCUCAGGUGCGUCAUCCAGCAACAAAAGAACCAGCUCCCCACAACCCAAAAGACUACGAACCAUCUGACUACGACCCUUACUACCUUGGCGAAGAGGAGGACGAGGCAGAUGAAGACUAUUACGUCACUUAUGCAGUCAUAAACACCACCACAACCAUUUCUUCUACUACGGAACUCAAAGACACUACCUAUGAAAGACCACUCGAAACAGUCACAGUUAGAGAACAUUACGAAACAGAGAAAGAAGCAACAGUACCAAGGCAAACGACGCAAGAAAGGUUACCAGUCUAUUACGAAAAGGUUCCGUCGUUUGAGAGGAAGCCAUCAUUCGAAAGGGUCCAGAUGUACGAAAGAAAACCAGCUCUGGACAGGAUACCGACAGUUCUGAAGAUAACGACACGCGAAGGAAAGGAAUUGAAUGAAGGAUGGUCUAUUGAAACUGGGAUAAGUACAGUGCCCACGUCCCAGAGGUCUCGGUUCACUUUCGAUGUCGAAGACCUAGAAGAAGCUCUUGCCAAGCGGAAGUUUGAAAAGAUGGUGUAUAAAGCGUUGAGAAGUCGCUACACGACUGACGGGCGGUUCGUGAAGAAGCUGGAGAUGGAAAUGGUGAAAAACAAGCCGGACUCGCAGCACCCGCCCAGCUACCACCACCAGUCGCGUUGGAGGUCCACCGAGGCUCCAUACAGGCCCAUGUGGUCAAAGCCCGCAAUUGAGAUACCCGUGGAGAAGGAGCAUCACAUCAAUGCACUGAGGGAAGAGUACCUGAGGACGACAGCAAUGUCUACCAUGUUCUAUGAGCCUGUGAGACAUCGAUGGCGUCCGACCAAGGACCGACCAGACAGGUGAGGCCCGGGGCGAAAGCGCUCCUAACAUACACCGUCUCCUACACCCCUAGACAUAGGGCUGCCAAAAAAGAGGAAUAUGUCACGUUUCCUACAUUCAACAUGGACAAG
rnacentral:misc_RNA from 1 species